CCUACGGGAGGCAGCAGUGGGGAAUAUUGGACAAUGGGGGCAACCCUGAUCCAGCCAUGCCGCGUGUGUGAAGAAGGCCCUCGGGUUGUAAAGCACUUUCAGUGAGGAAGAACGCCUGGUGGUUAAUACCCAUCAGGAAAGACAUCACUCACAGAAGAAGCACCGGCUAACUCCGUGCCAGCAGCCGCGGUAAUACGGAGGGUGCGAGCGUUAAUCGGAAUUACUGGGCGUAAAGCGCGCGUAGGUGGCUUGAUAAGCCGGUUGUGAAAGCCCCGGGCUCAACCUGGGAACGGCAUCCGGAACUGUCAAGCUAGAGUGCAGGAGAGGAAGGUAGAAUUCCCGGUGUAGCGGUGAAAUGCGUAGAGAUCGGGAGGAAUACCAGUGGCGAAGGCGGCAUUCUGGACUGACACUGACACUGAGGUGCGAAAGCGUGGGUAGCAAACAGGAUUAGAUACCCUGGUAGUC
rnacentral:rRNA from 1 species